AGAAGCCUCUUCCUCCACCAGUGCCAAUCUACAAGAAGCCUCUCCCUCCACCAGUGCCGGUAUACAAGAAGCCGGUCCCUCCCCCCGUCCCGGUCUACAAGAAGCCUCACCCUCCGCCCGUCCCAAUCUACAAGAAACCUCUCCCUCCACCUGUCCCAGUCUAUAAGAAGCCUAACCCUCCACCAGUCCCAGUAUACAAGAAACCUUACCCUCCACCAACACCAAUCUACAAGAAACCUCUCCCUCCUCCCGUCCCAGUCUAUAAGAAGCCUAACCCUCCACCAGUCCCAGUAUACAAGAAACCUUGCCCUCCACCAAAACCAAUCUACAAGAAACCUCUCCCUCCACCUGUCCCAAUCUAUAAGAAGCCUCUUCCACCACCAGUUCCAGUAUACAAGAAGCCACUUCCACCACUAGUCCCCAUAUACAAGAAGCCAUUUCCACCACCAGUCCCAAUAUACACAAAGC
rnacentral:lncRNA from 1 species